rnacentral:rRNA from 1 species
UACGGAGGGGGCAAGCGUUAUUCGGAAUUAUUGGGCGUAAAGGGCGUGUAGGCGGCUUUGUGUGUCUCAUGUGAAAGCCCUCGGCUCAACCGGGGAACUGCAUGGGAAACUGCUGAGCUUGAGUCCGGGAGAGGAAAGUGGAAUUCCCAGUGUAGCGGUGAAAUGCGUAGAUAUUGGGAGGAACACCAGUGGCGAAGGCGGCUCACUGGACCGGAACUGACGCUGAUGCGCGAAAGCGUGGGGAGCAAACGGG